UUGGAAACAGGUGCUAAUACCGUAGAACAAUCGAAACCGCAUGGUUUUGAUUUGAAAGGCGCUUUCGGGUGUCGCUGAUGGAUGGACCCGCGGUGCAUUAGCUAGUUGGUGAGGUAACGGCUCACCAAGGCCACGAUGCAGAGCCGACCUGAGAGGGUGAUCGGCCACAUUGGGACUGAGACACGGCCCAAACUCCUACGGGAGGCAGCAGUAGGGAAUCUUCGGCAAUGGACGAAAGUCUGACCGAGCAACGCCUCGUGAGUGAAGAAGGUUUUCGGAUCGUAAAACUCUGUUGUUAGAGAAGAACAAGGAUGAGAGUAACUGUUCAUCCCUUGACGGUAUCUAACCAGAAAGCCACGGCUAACUACGUGCCAACAGCCGCGGUAAUACGUAGGUGGCAAGCGUUGUCCGGAUUUAUUGGGCGUAAAGCGAGCGCAGGCGGUUUCUUAAGUCUGAUGUGAAAGCCCCCGGCUCAACCGGGGAGGGUCAUUGGAAACUGGGAGACUUGAGUGCAGAAGAGGAGAGUGGAAUUCCAUGUGUAGCGGUGAAAUGCGUAGAUAUAUGGAGGAACACCAGUGGCGAAGGCGGCUCUCUGGUCUGUAACUGACGCUGAGGCUCGAAAGCGUGGGGAGCAAACAGGAUUAGAUACCCUGGUAGUCCACGCCGUAAACGAUGAGUGCUAAGUGUUGGAGGGUUUCCGCCCUUCAGUGCUGCAGCUAACGCAUUAAGCACUCCGCCUGGGGAGUACGACCGCAAGGUUGAAACUCAAAGGAAUUGACGGGGGCCCGCACAAGCGGUGGAGCAUGUGGUUUAAUUCGAAGCAACGCGAAGAACCUUACCAGGUCUUGACAUCCUUUGACCACUCUAGAGAUAGAGCUUCCCCUUCGGGGGCAAAGUGACAGGUGGUGCAUGGUUGUUGUCAGCUCGUGUCGUGAGAUGUUGGGUUAAGUCCCGCAACGAGCGCAACCCUUAUUGUUAGUUGCCAUCAUUCAGUUGGGCACUCUAGCAAGACUGCCGGUGACAAACCGGAGGAAGGUGGGGAUGACGUCAAAUCAUCAUGCCCCUUAUGACCUGGGCUACACACGUGCUACAAUGGGAAGUACAACGAGUUGCGAAGUCGCGAGGCUAAGCUAAUCUCUUAAAGCUUCUCUCAGUUCGGAUUGCAGGCUGCAACUCGCCUGCAUGAAGCCGGAAUCGCUAGUAAUCGCGGAUCAGCACGCCGCGGUGAAUACGUUCCCGGGCCUUGUA
rnacentral:rRNA from 1 species